UGAGCUGUCACACCUUUAAAAUUAAUCCUAUUUGUUCGGAGUCAAAGAAAUGCUGAAAGGAAAGUCCAAGAGGCGAAAAAUCGGUGUGUUGUGCUGUAGGAAACCGUUGCUGGAACAAGACUACCUGUAGGCACUGUACUGAGGGUAAAAAGAGCCAGCGGCGUUUUCAAUCUGCCGGCGAAACACACAACAUACAUUUAUAUGGCAAAGUUCCUCGCCGAGCUGCUGGGAUGUACACUGCCCGAGAAAGGAGCAUCUCCAAUGUUCGAGUGCAGGAGUCAGCCGCACAUCGGACUGAGGCAUGUCACCAAACAGCGGCCCACCAUAUUUGGGACACUGAUUGAAAAACCGCUGGGGGAUCACAAUGCAG